UAAGAAAUAGGAAUUUGAGUUGGAAACAAAUCCUAUUACACCUAGGUUAGUAGUUACUCAUGCUAUAAAUAGGAGAUAAGAAAGAAAAAAAUAAAUAAAAAAAUAAUAAAACCCUAACUUUUUCCUAUCAACCGUUUUCCUCCCUUCUUCCGUCAAAUAUUUUCUCUCUCCUCUCUUCUUCUUUCUCGUAAGUCUUCUCCUCCCAUCCCCUGAAUUUUGUUGGCCUUUGAGAAGGUCGUGCUGUGUGUGUGUGUGUGGUGUGCGACGCAAAGAGUGCUAGCGGGUCAAGAAGUACGAAUCCCCGCUGCUGUCGUGCGAGCGAAGUGUGUGCGCGAGUCAUUGCUCGAGGGUUGUGCUAGCGAAGUGCAUGGUGUAUGUGUUGUGCAUCGAGUGCUACUGUGUGUGCUGGGCGGUUGAGGCGAGUGUGUGUGCAAAGCCUUCGAAGGUGUGAGGGCGAGAGUUCGAGUGUGAGGAGUCGAGGGUGUGUGUGCAUUGUGUGAGUCGUCGGUGCAGAGGAACGAGAGGGUCGAGGGUGAAGGUGCGACGAUGUGUAUGAAGGUACGAGGUUCGAGUGUGGGUGGCUCGAGUGUUAUGUGCGAGUCGCGCGAGUGCGUCGAAGCUCAUGGUGUGUGCGAGCGUUGUGUGCCAUGCGUGCGAGUGGUGUGCGAGUGCGGUGGUGCGUGGCUAGUGUGCUGCCAGAAUUCCAUCGCCGGUAAUUGUCGCCGGCGAGUCACUUCGGUCCCAAUUUCAUAAGCGGAACAUUUAAGUAGUCAGCAAAGAUUCUUCGUUACAAGAUUAGGUAUGAUGGUGUUGCUGCAUGAGUUCAGGCAUACAAUGGAUAUUCUUUAGUUAUAAACUUUUAAAUGUUUUUGUUGAACUUAUAGUAUUAUUAUAAUCUACUUAGUUAAUGGUUUGAAUAAAAAGGGGUCAAUGAUUCCCGAGUUGUAAGUAAUUUAUUAUUCCCGCUGUAGUUUAGUUUUCAUAAUAAGGAUUAAGUUAAUUUCUUCAAUUCAAUUAGCCUUGCGUUCCACCGUGGCGGUAACACUCACAAAGUCAAUGCGACGUAGUUUAGACGUUUAUGGAUUUUGGGGGUGUUACAUCGGAUCUCAAUCAUUCACUCAUUGACC